ACGGAGGGUGCAAGCGUUGUCCGGAAUCAUUGGGCGUAAAGAGUUCGUAGGUGGUUUGUUUAGUCUGGUGUUAAAUCCCGAAGCUCAACUUCGGUCCGGCACUGGAUACUGGCAAACUUGAAUGUGGUAGAGGUAAAGGGAAUUCCUGGUGUAGCGGUGAAAUGCGUAGAUAUCAGGAGGAACAGCGGUGGCGAAUGCGCUUUAGUGGGACAUUAUUUACACUGAGGAACGAAAGCCGGGGUAGCAAAUGG
rnacentral:rRNA from 1 species